AUUGAACGCUAGCGGCAGGCUUAACACAUGCAAGUCGAGCGAGAGGGGGAGGGGGGAGUAAUGUCUAGGAAACCGCGUGCAGGAGGGGGGUAACGAUUGGAGACGGUGGGUAAUACCGCAUACAAUCAGAUGUGCCCAGAUGGGAUUAGCUAGUAGUGGGGGUAACGGGUCACCUAGGCGACGAUCCCUAGCUGGUCUGAGAGGAUGACCAGCCACACUGGGACUGAGACACGGUCCAGACUCCUACGGGAGGCAGCAGUGGGGAAUAUUGGACAAUGGGGGCAAGCCUGAUGCAGCCAUGCCGCGUGUGUGAAGAAGGCCUUCGGGUUGUAAAGCACUUUCAGCGGGGAGGCGUUACCCGCAGAAGAAGCACCGGCUAACUCCGUGCCAGCAGCCGCGGUAAUAC
rnacentral:rRNA from 1 species